UACGAAGGGUGCAAGCGUUAAUCGGAAUUACUGGGCGUAAAGGGUGCGUAGGCGGUUCGUUAAGUCUGUCGUGAAAUCCCCGGGCUCAACCUGGGAAUGGCGAUGGAUACUGGCGAGCUAGAGUGUGUCAGAGGAUGGUGGAAUUCCCGGUGUAGCGGUGAAAUGCGUAGAGAUCAGGAAGAACACCCGUGGCGCAAGCGGCCACCUGGCCAAGAGCUGACGCUGAGGCACGAGAGCGUGGGGAGCGAACCGG
rnacentral:rRNA from 1 species